AACGAACGCUGGCGGCAGGCCUAACACAUGCAAGUCGAACGCCGUAGCAAUACGGAGUGGCAGACGGGUGAGUAACACGUGGGAACAUACCCUUCGGUUCGGAAUAACUCAGGGAAACUUGAGCUAAUACCGGAUACGUCCGCGAGGAGAAAGAUUCAUCGCCGGAGGAUUGGCCCGCGUCUGAUUAGCUUGUUGGUGAGGUAACGGCUCACCAAGGCGACGAUCAGUAGCGGUCUGAGAGGAUGAUCAGCCACAUUGGGACUGAGACACGGCCCAAACUCCUACGGGAGGCAGCAGGUGGGGAAUAUUGGACAAGUGGGCGCAAGCCUGAUCCAGCCAUGCCGCGUGAGUGAUGAAGGCCCUAGGGUUGUAAAGCUCGUUUUAACCCGGGAAGAUAAUGACUGUACCGGGAGAAUAAGCCCCGG
rnacentral:rRNA from 1 species